GACUUUAAUGACAAAAAGUGAAUCCUUUUUAAUAAUUAAAAACGUUCAUAUAAUUAUGGGAAUAUGGAAUGUUAUCUCAGUAAUAGAUAAGGAAGUAUUGCUUGUCAUGGCAAUAUCUUAACACUUUAUCUACUGGGCAAUUUAGAAACAGUCCUUGAUUUAAAAAGAAUUGUCUACAGUAGCAUAUGCCAAUCUAGACUGACAAUAAUUCCUCCAUACUGUUACUGGGUACAUUGAAAGCCAAGUCUGUUUCUGUUUGCGAAUCGGCUCUUGAAUGUCGCGCCGUGAGGCUGCCGGCGUCGCAUCGAUCAGUUAUCGAUCGACAGCGGACGCUUUUGUCCAGCGGAUGAGAUUUCGGCCGUUUUCGGAACGCGCACCGGCCGCGUGCUCGCGCCACGUGCGCUGAGCAUUGUGAUUCUAGUAUUCAAAGCAAACGCAUCGCGCAUAGCCUUUUUGAACAGUUUACAGUAAAGUGAAAUUCCACGCAUCAGUGCACCAGCUCAGCAUCCAGGCGGCUGAAUUUACAUAUUAACGGUGCCAGGCGGUGUAUCCAGCUCAAAGGAAACGCUCUCUGCAUCGUCCAGCCAGCUCACUCAUCAAUUGCAUAUCUCAUUUUAACAGGAGUUGGCGAGGCAGCUCAAUUGGCGUGUCGUUACUACCGCAUACCAUAUAAUCAGCAUGAGCAAAGGUUAAUACUUUGGUCACAGUAUAAGUACAACCAGUAGCGUCACUUGGCAAAAGUAGAGUCUGCAAAUGUGCAUACCAAGAACAUGGCGACGACGUUGUUUCCUAUAUUGUACACUAGAUGGUACUAAUAGUAACCGACACCACACGCAGCGUCACACGUCGAUUCAAUUUAUUGCGCAGCGUCACAGUAACAUCACAGUAUAAUUUAAAUAUGCGCGUGGUGCAUACCAGGAACAUGGCGGAUCUCGGAUAUCAACAUCAAAGGUGCCGACACGGAGUGACGCUACUGGUUGUACCUAUACUGUGCUUUGGUGGUUUAUCCGCCCAGGAUGGUGAAGUGAUG